AUACUAACUAGAUCGUAAUACUAAUCGGCAAUCAUAUUUGUAUUUUACUUUGUCAUAGUACAGUUUUAUAGGUUUAUUUAAGUUUUAUAAUACUAAAAAACAAACUUGCUAUGCUUCUUCUUGAUAAUUUUUAGGUUAGACGUAGUGAUUUCUAAGGCUUCGACAAAGAAUACAAAUAUUGUUACCGAUUAGACUCAUCGGUUUAUCUAUUUAUGAUAUAGCUCAUUAGCUGAAACAUUUUUCGUUGUGAUCAGGUCAGAUAUAGAAGAUUUGUGAAUCAACAAUAAAUAUAAAAUUUGUAUCGUCACCAAAUGAUAUGGUGGU
rnacentral:lncRNA from 1 species